GGUUUAUGUGAUUUUCAAUUAAUUUCAAAUUAUUCACUCAAGAAUUUGCACUUCUUACAUAGCAAAUGAAAAAAAAGGUUUCAAUAAUUCAAAUUCUGAACUGAAUUGAACUUCCAGCAUGUGAAAUUUGAGCUGCUUGAGAUACUAUUUCAAGCUAGUUAAUUUUGAGGAUGAAACCAUCAAAUUAUGUCAGCUUAGAUCAUUUAUGCCAGUGAUCAAACUAAUAAUAGCAAACUCAUUAAAAAGUUCACUUGGAUUAGACUGCACAAAGUUUCUUCUUACCCGCAUGUCACAUUAGCAGGUUGAAUACAUGAAACUGAAACCUGGAUAUGAAAUUUCCUCCAAGCAGGCAAGCAAUAAUCAUGACACAUACUAUUUUAUCCCCCAAAUUAUAUUAGUAUCAGUUAUACGAAAGAGGAAAUUUCUCCUUGCAACUAGCUUCAAUGUGAUGGUGGCAGCAUAGCUUUUAGUUUCCGUCAAAGAAUAGCUCAGAGGAUGUAGCUUCGAAACAGGAAGUCCAACUUACUACGCAUUAUUAACAGAAUUGCUUUUGUUUACACCUUGGAGCUCCAAUGAAGAAUUUGUGAUGCUUCCAACUGAGCCAAGGGUCUGAGAGCUCAACUGCGGACUAGCAGGACAAGCUUCUGGAUUACCAGCACUUAAUGCAUGGAUUGCUCCAGAACUCAGCUGUGGACUCAUUGGGGUUCGCUGGCUCAUUUGCUGUGGACUAGGUUGCUGCUGGGGUUGCUGCUGGGCUUGUUGGUUCAGUUGUGGAAUUCCCAUGGUUGAUGGCGAGCCUACUUGUGGAGGAGAAACAACAGCCUGCAGUGAUGAGGAUGGAUCUUGCUGUUGCUGCAUCUGUUGUUGUUGCUGCUGUUGUAAUUGUUGCUGUAAUUGCUGCUGUUGUUGCUGUUGCUGCUGGAAUUGUUGUUGUUGUAAUUGCAGUUGUUGCUGCUGUUGCUGUUGUU
rnacentral:misc_RNA from 1 species